rnacentral:rRNA from 1 species
UGGGGAUAUUGCGCAAUGGGGGAAACCCUGACGCAGCAACGCCGCGUGAAGGAAGAAGGUUUUCGGAUCGUAAACUUCUUUAAGUGGGGAAGAUAAUGACGGUACCCACAGAAUAAGCCACGGCUAACUACGUGCCAGCAGCCGCGGUAAUACGUAGGUGGCAAGCGUUGUCCGGAUUUACUGGGGUGUAAAGGGCGUGUAGGCGGGGAGGCAAGUCAGAUGUGAAAUACCGAGGCUCAAACUUCGGGGCUGCAUUUGAAACUGUCACUCUUGAGUGCCGGAGAGGAAAGCGGAAUUCCUAGUGUAGCGGUGAAAUGCGUAGAUAUUAGGAGGAACACCGGUGGCGAAGGCGGCUUUCUGGACGGUAACUGACGCUGAGGCGCGAAAGCGUGGGGAGCAAACAGGAUUAGAUACCCUGGUAGU